GGGACACUAAAGGCACUGAAACCACUUCAUCUCAAUGAAGUGGUCUGGGUGAUGUGCCCCUGUCCCUUAACCCUGCAGUGUGUACACUGCAGGAUUAAGACAAUCUCUAGUUGAACUCUGUAAAACGACGGACGUCCUCACGCUUUGUAUGUGGAUGUCUUCAAAUUCCCAUAUUGAUUCAAUGCUUUCCUGUGUUGAAGGUUUAAUGUAUGCACAGUGCUCACUGUGCAUGCACAUUAGGCUCCACAAUCAACACGACGUUGUGGGAGGUGGUGACUGGUCCAGGGCAAAAGUAAAUAUAUCUCUGUAUGUGCAGAGUUUCAAGCAAAAAUUCUGCAUAUACAAAUUCCUACCACGAUGGCUAUAUCUAAAAGCAGAAGUGGUCAUAGUAAUUGGACUCCAGUGGUUCCCACAGCGGUCCUUAUGGCACCCCUACCAGUCCAGG